UUUGGAUAACUCAGAAGAUUUCAGCAAAAUUGGCCCUAGUUGGAUAGUCCUGGGCCUCGAGUCUUCCGGUACGUUAUAUGGAAGGUCUUCCUUACAUCAUUCCUAUAACAGAAAGGAAGACUCGAGUUGAUGGUCUAAUUUAGAAAAGAGGACUUAUUUUCCUAGAUAUCCUAACAGUCUUUCUACCUAUGGCCUCAGUUGUAAGGGAUUUAGUUUGUGUAACUGUUCUAAUACCAUCUAUGACAUCCCAAAUACUAAUUAAGGCAUU
rnacentral:lncRNA from 1 species